GACGAACGCUGGCGGCGUGCUUAACACAUGCAAGUCGAACGAUGAUGCCCAGCUUGCUGGGUGGAUUAGUGGCGAACGGGUGAGUAACACGUGAGUAACCUGCCCCUGACUCUGGGAUAGGCGUUGGGAACGACGUCUAAUACUGGAUAUGACUGCCGGCCGCAUGGUCUGGUGGUGGAAAGAUUUUUGGUUGGGGAUGGACUCGCGGCCUAUCAGCUUGUUGGUGAGGUAAUGGCUCGCCAAGGCGACGACGGGUAGCCGGCCUGAGAGGGUGACCGGCCACACUGGGACUGAGACACGGCCCAGACUCCUACGGGAGGCAGCAGUGGGGAAUAUUGCACAAUGGGCGAAAGCCUGAUGCAGCAACGCCGCGUGAGGGAUGACGGCCUUCGGGUUGUAAACCUCUUUUAGUAGGGAAGAAGCGAAAGUGACGGUACCUGCAGAAAAAGCACCGGCUAACUACGUGCCAGCCGCCGCCGUAA
rnacentral:rRNA from 1 species